rnacentral:rRNA from 1 species
AGUGAACGCUGGCGGCGGGCCUAAUACAUGCAAGUCGAACGAAGUGGCGCGCGGGUGAGUAAUAUAUAGAUAAUCUGCCGUACACAGAGGAACAACAGUUGGAAACGACUGCUAAUACCUCCUAGUGGAGGAUGAGAGUAUAUCGUAUCAGCUAGUUGUUAAGGUAAUGGCUUACCAAGGCUAUGACGCGUAACUGGUCUGAGAGGAUGAUCAGUAACCUUGGAAGUGAGACACGGUCCAAACUCCUACGGGAGGCAGCAGUAAGGAAUAUUGCGCAAUCGGGGUAACCCUGACGCGGCAACGCCGCGUGGAGGACUACACUUUUCGGAGCGUAAACUCCUGUUAUCACGAAAGCGGUACCUGAUGAAUAAGCACCGGCUAACUCCGUGCCAGCAGCCGCGGUAAUUC